ACGGGGCGCAGGCCGAAAACUUUACAAUGCUGGCAACACGAUAAGGGAACCUCGAGUGCCAGGUUACAAAUCUGGCUGUCGAGAUGCCUAAAAAGCAUUUCAUAGCAAGGGCCGGGCAAGACCGGUGCCAGCCGCCGCGGUAACACCGGCGGCUCGAGUGGUAUCCGUUAUUAUUGGGUCUAAAGGGUCUGUAGCCGGCCGGAUAAGUCUCUUGAGAAAUCUGGCAGCUUAACUGUCAGGCUUUCAGGAGAUACUGUCUGGCUCGAGGCCGGGAGAGGUGAGAGGUACUUCAGGGGUAGGGGUGAAAUCUUGUAAUCCUUGAAGGACCACCAGUGGCGAAGGCGUCUCACCAGAACGGACCUGACGGCAAGGGACGAAAGCUAGGGGCACGAACCGGAUUAGAUACCCGGGUAGUCCUAGCCGUAAACGAUACUCGCUAGGUGUCGGCCACGGUGCGACCGUUGUCGGUGCCGUAGGGAAGCCGUGAAGCGAGCCACCUGGGAAGUACGGCCGCAAGGCUGAAACUUAAAGGAAUUGGCGGGGGAGCACCACAACGGGUGGAGCUUGCGGUUUAAUUGGAUUCAACGCCGGAAAUCUUACCGGGACCGACAGCAAUAUGAAGGCCAGGCUGAAGACUUUGCCGGAUUAGCUGAGAGGUGGUGCAUGGCCGUCGUCAGUUCGUACUGUGAAGCAUCCUGUUAAGUCAGGCAACGAGCGAGACCCACGCCCACAGUUGCCAGCGUACUCUCCGGAGUGACGGGUACACUGUGGGGACCGCCGCUGCUAAAGCGGAGGAAGGAAUGGGCAACGGUAGGUCAGUAUGCCCCGAAUAUCCCGGGCUACACGCGAGCUACAAUGGUUGGUACAAUGGGUAUCUACCCCGAAAGGGGACGGAAAUCUCCUAAAACCAAUCUUAGUUCGGAUUGAGGGCUGCAACUCGCCCUCAUGAAGCUGGAAUCCGUAGUAAUCGCGUUUCAACAGAACGCGGUGAAUACGUCCCUGCUCCUUGUACACACCGCCCGUCA
rnacentral:rRNA from 1 species